rnacentral:rRNA from 1 species
AGUGAACGCUGGCGGUAGGCCUAACACAUGCAAGUCGAACGGCAGCACAGUAAGAGCUUGCUCUUACGGGUGGCGAGUGGCGGACGGGGGCGGAAUACAUCGGAAUCUACUUUUUCGUUGGGGGUAACGUAGGGAAACUUACGCUAAUACCGCAUACGACCUACUGGUGAAAGCAGGCGAUCUUCGGACCUUUCGCGAUUGAAUGAGCCGAUGUCGGAUUAGCUAGUUGGCGGGGUAAAGGCACACCAAGGCGACGAUCCGUAGCUGGCAUGAGAGGAUCAAUAGGUAGACGGGAACUGAGAAACGGCAGAGACACCGACGGUGGGACGCAGUCGGGAAUAUUGGACGAGGGGGGCGAGGCGGAUCUAGCGAUAUCGCGUGAGGGAUGAAGGAGUUAGGCUGGUUGAGUGCUGAUGUUCGGAAAGAAAAGCAGCAGGUUAAUCCCCCGCGGUAAUGACGGUACCCAAAGAAUAAGCCCCGGCUAACUUCGUG